GCACUGCCGAAGAGUCCCAUCCUGGGACGAAACGACCGUCCCGUAC
rnacentral:hammerhead_ribozyme from 1 species